GGGUUGUGAGGUUAAGCGACUAAGCGUACACGGUGGAUGCCCUGGCAGUCAGAGGCGAUGAAGGACGUGCUAAUCUGCGAAAAGCGUCGGUAAGGUGAUAUGAACCGUUAUAACCGGCGAUGUCCGAAUGGGGAAACCCAGUGCAAUUCGUUGCACUAUCGUUAACUGAAUACAUAGGUUAACGAGGCGAACCGGGGGAACUGAAACAUCUAAGUACCCCGAGGAAAAGAAAUCAACCGAGAUUCCCCCAGUAGCGGCGAGCGAACGGGGAGCAGCCCAGAGUCUGAAUCAGCUUGUGUGUUAGUGGAACGGUCUGGAAAGUCCGACGGUACAGGGUGAUAGUCCCGUACACCAAAAUGCACAGGCUGUGAACUCGAAGAGUAGGGCGGGACACGUGGUAUCCUGUCUGAAUAUGGGGGGACCAUCCUCCAAGGCUAAAUACUCCUGACUGACCGAUAGUGAACCAGUACCGUGAGGGAAAGGCGAAAAGAACCCCGGCGAGGGGAGUGAAAAAGAACCUGAAACCGUGUACGUACAAGCAGUGGGAGCACCUUCGGGUGUGACUGCGUACCUUUUGUAUAAUGGGUCAGCGACUUAUAUUCUGUAGCAAGGUUAACCGUAUAGGGGAGCCGCAGGGAAACCGAGUCUUAACUGGGCGUUAAGUUGCAGGGUAUAGACCCGAAACCCGGUGAUCUAGCCAUGGGCAGGUUGAAGGUUGGGUAACACUAACUGGAGGACCGAACCGACUAAUGUUGAAAAAUUAGCGGAUGACUUGUGGCUGGGGGUGAAAGGCCAAUCAAACCGGGAGAUAGCUGGUUCUCCCCGAAAGCUAUUUAGGUAGCGCCUCGUGAACUCAUCUUCGGGGGUAGAGCACUGUUUCGGCUAGGGGGUCAUCCCGACUUACCAACCCGAUGCAAACUACGAAUACCGAAGAAUGUUAUCACGGGAGACACACGGCGGGUGCUAACGUCCGUCGUGAAGAGGGAAACAACCCAGACCGCCAGCUAAGGUCCCAAAGUCAUGGUUAAGUGGGAAACGAUGUGGGAAGGCACAGACAGCCAGGAUGUUGGCUUAGAAGCAGCCAUCAUUUAAAGAAAGCGUAAUAGCUCACUGGUCGAGUCGGCCUGCGCGGAAGAUGUAACGGGGCUAAACCAUGCACCGAAGCUGCGGCAGCGACACGAUGUGUUGUUGGGUAGGGGAGCGUUCUGUAAGCCUGCGAAGGUGACCUGUGAGGGUUGCUGGAGGUAUCAGAAGUGCGAAUGCUGACAUAAGUAACGAUAAAGCGGGUGAAAAGCCCGCUCGCCGGAAGACCAAGGGUUCCUGUCCAACGUUAAUCGGGGCAGGGUGAGUCGACCCCUAAGGCGAGGCCGAAAGGCGUAGUCGAUGGGAAACAGGUUAAUAUUCCUGUACUUGGUGUUACUGCGAAGGGGGGACGGAGAAGGCUAUGUUAGCCGGGCGACGGUUGUCCCGGUUUAAGCAUGUAGGCUGGUUAUCCAGGCAAAUCCGGAUAAUCAAGGCUGAGGUGUGAUGACGAGGCACUACGGUGCUGAAGUAACAAAUGCCCUGCUUCCAGGAAAAGCCUCUAAGCAUCAGGUAACACGAAAUCGUACCCCAAACCGACACAGGUGGUCAGGUAGAGAAUACCAAGGCGCUUGAGAGAACUCGGGUGAAGGAACUAGGCAAAAUGGUGCCGUAACUUCGGGAGAAGGCACGCUGGUGUGUAGGUGAAGUCCCUGCGGAUGGAGCUGAGACCAGUCGAAGAUACCAGCUGGCUGCAACUGUUUAUUAAAAACACAGCACUGUGCAAACACGAAAGUGGACGUAUACGGUGUGACGCCUGCCCGGUGCCGGAAGGUUAAUUGAUGGGGUUAUCCGUAAGGAGAAGCUCUUGAUCGAAGCCCCGGUAAACGGCGGCCGUAACUAUAACGGUCCUAAGGUAGCGAAAUUCCUUGUCGGGUAAGUUCCGACCUGCACGAAUGGCGUAAUGAUGGCCAGGCUGUCUCCACCCGAGACUCAGUGAAAUUGAACUCGCUGUGAAGAUGCAGUGUACCCGCGGCAAGACGGAAAGACCCCGUGAACCUUUACUAUAGCUUGACACUGAACAUUGAGCCUUGAUGUGUAGGAUAGGUGGGAGGCUUUGAAGCGUGGACGCCAGUCUGCGUGGAGCCAACCUUGAAAUACCACCCUUUAAUGUUUGAUGUUCUAACGUUGGCCCCUUAUCGGGGUUGCGGACAGUGUCUGGUGGGUAGUUUGACUGGGGCGGUCUCCUCCCAAAGCGUAACGGAGGAGCACGAAGGUUAGCUAAUCCUGGUCGGACAUCAGGAGGUUAGUGCAAUGGCAUAAGCUAGCUUGACUGCGAGCGUGACGGCGCGAGCAGGUGCGAAAGCAGGUCAUAGUGAUCCGGUGGUUCUGAAUGGAAGGGCCAUCGCUCAACGGAUAAAAGGUACUCCGGGGAUAACAGGCUGAUACCGCCCAAGAGUUCAUAUCGACGGCGGUGUUUGGCACCUCGAUGUCGGCUCAUCACAUCCUGGGGCUGAAGUAGGUCCCAAGGGUAUGGCUGUUCGCCAUUUAAAGUGGUACGCGAGCUGGGUUUAGAACGUCGUGAGACAGUUCGGUCCCUAUCUGCCGUGGGCGCUGGAGAAUUGAGGGGGGCUGCUCCUAGUACGAGAGGACCGGAGUGGACGCAUCACUGGUGUUCGGGUUGUCAUGCCAAUGGCACUGCCCGGUAGCUAAAUGCGGAAGAGAUAAGUGCUGAAAGCAUCUAAGCACGAAACUUGCCCCGAGAUGAGUUCUCCCUGAGACUUUAAGUCUCCUGAAGGAACGUUGAAGACGACGACGUUGAUAGGCCGGGUGUGUAAGCGCAGCGAUGCGUUGAGCUAACCGGUACUAAUGAACCGUGAGGCUUAACCUUACAACGCCGAAG
rnacentral:rRNA from 1 species